rnacentral:rRNA from 1 species
GGCCAGACGAGCUAACAUGCAGACGACGCACUCUUCGGAGUGAGUGGCAGACGGGUGAGUAACGCGUGGGAAUCUACCUAGUGGUGGGGGAUAACUUCGGGAAACCGGAGCUAAUACCCCAUAAGCCCUUCGGGGGAAAGUUUUUCGCCAUUAGAUGAGCCCGCGUUAGAUUAGCUAGUUGGUAGGGUAAUGGCCUACCAAGGCGACGAUCUAUAGCUGGUCUGAGAGGAUGAUCAGCCACACUGGGACUGAGACACGGCCCAGACUCCUACGGGAGGCAGCAGUGGGGAAUAUUGCACAAUGGGCGCAAGCCUGAUGCAGCCAUGCCGCGUGUGUGAUGAAGGCCUUAGGGUUGUAAAACACUUUCAUCGGUGAAGAUAAUGACGGUAGCCGAAGAAGAAGCCCCGGCUAACUCCGUGCCAGCAGCCGCGGUAAUACGGAGGGGGCAAGCGUUGUUCGGAAUUACUGGGCGUAAAGCGCACGUAGGCGGACUGGUCAGUUGGGGGUGAAAUCCCGAGGCUUAACCUCGGAACUGCCUUCAAUACUGCCAGUCUUGAGAUCGGAAGAGGUGAGUGGAAUUCCUAGUGUAGAGGUGAAAUUCGUAGAUAUUAGGAAGAACACCAGUGGCGAAGGCGGCUCACUGGUCCGAUACUGACGCUGAGGUGCGAAAGCGUGGGGAGCGAACAGGAUUAGAUACCCUGGUAGUCCACGCCCGUAACGAUGGAUGCUAGCCGUCGGACAGUAUACUGUUCGGUGGCGCAGUUAACGCAUUAAGCAUCCCGCCUGGGGAGUACGGUCGCAAGAUAAAACUCAAAAGAAUUGACGGGGGCCGCACCAACGGUGGAGC